rnacentral:miRNA from 1 species
CACACUCGGUUACCGGGUGCU